ensembl:lincRNA
UCGCCGGCAGGAAGCCCCGCGUCCCCCCGGUGUUCCCCAGACAUCCCGCCCAGAGCCCCGCGUCCCGCGUCCCGUGUCCCCGGGAGGAAGCGAGAAGUCGGCAGCGCGGGAGCCGGGGCCGGCUUCCGGGAGGUCUAGGAAGUGCUUCUCGGUGGUCGUCUCCCGGGACUCCUCCCGGCGCCCGGGGCUUUCCGGGAAGGUCGCCGCGCUGGGUCAGACGGACGCCGUGCGUACGUACCCAGGACGUGCGGAUGCAGGCGACGGGGACUCGGCGAGAAGGCGGCUCCCGGGUCCUGGCUCUCUGGAAGGUGGGAGCAGCCGCAGCACAAGUCACCCGGCAGAGAGUAGAGGCUGCCCCGGCCCUGUCGGCCCCAGCGCACCCAGGCCGAAACUCCUUGAAGAAAGCACCCUACCCCGACUCCUGACUACUCCGGAUAAAAUUGGCAACUAUGUCCUGUAAACUAAGUUUAUGUCAAUUUAUUCUCACAAGAUUCACAAGACUCUGUCUUCUUUGAAGGGUAAGUCACAAAAUUAUCCUUGUCCUGUUGCUGUAAACUCCUUGCUAUGUCACUAAAAAGACCAGCCCACUUUGACUAAAUGUAUAAAAUAUAAAACAUUUCCUUGUCCAACACUCAGUCUUUUGGAUGGGAGUCCAACUGUGUCAUGAUUCACCUAAUAAAUCCUCCUGAUUCCCAUUGAUCUCUUAUCUCUUGGAAUUCUGUAACAAGAGCAUGCCUGGAUAUGCUGCUGAUGACCUUUAAUAGAAGUAAGCUUCAAGAACGGGAUUUCUGCUAUAGUCAUGCAUUCUUUAAUAUCUCAUUUAUUAGAAAAAAUCAGCAACCCAGCUUUCCUUAGGUCUUCAUGAGCUAACAUUUUGUAGAUUUUUUCCCCCUAGUUACAGAAAUCCUCUCUCUGUGUUGUCCACAACUACUCUUACAAACUGUAUUAGUAUAGCAAAUGUUCUUGGAAGAGUAAAGAGAUUCUUGGACACCUAUAUCCCACAUCAGGAAACAUGUAUUAUUAAUCACUACCUCUUCUACAUUGUUUCCUUUUGUAGGGGAAGCAUAGAAAACUGGUAAAGAGUGGUAGUUUUCUCUGCAUUACCCAAUGCAACAAUGAUAACCAUGUUCCUGGUUACUGAACAGUCUCCAUAUCCUGGUGAAGAGAAUUCCCAUUCUCCGGCAGCAAAGCCCUUCCAGCCACCUGGGCCACCAGACUUCCCCACCUCAAGCUGAAGGGAUGAGGUUCCUGCUGGAGCCUCUGCCUCCUGGGAACUGGAGGGAGGCCAAAGCCCAGGCCACCCUGCAGAAUGUGAGGCCUGGCUACUGCCAUGUUGUCUGCCAUGAACCUCACAGGCCACUAUCUUCUUCCAUCCCCAAGCUGUUUUCCUUCCUGUAAUCCCCUGCAAUAAAAUCCAGAGAGUGGGAGACUGCAAUACUGAUGUUGCCCAAAGCAGGCUGUAAGUGAUGCAGGCUAUAAAAAGUUAACCCGACAACUGGCUUGUUUAUAGAAGUGAGUCCAGCUGAAACCUACAUGCUGAGGUCAGAGUGACUCACACCCAAAUUCCAUUCCUACAAUUAAAACCUCCUGACUAGAAGGACAAUGUUCUACAACCAAAUAUUUUGUCUAUUCUGUUCCUAAUUCGAGAAUGCUUUGUCUUAUCCUUGAUGAGCCUAGUUUACAUUAAUUUUUAUAGAAACUACAUGUCUGCGCAUCUUCACAUGUAGUACAGCCUUGCACAUAGCUUGCCUUUACCCCAAUUGAUUUACCCCAAUAAAAGUCCGUGGCUGGGACUGGCCAGUGCGUUUGUCAGAUGCACUGGCAUUGGUCAUCCUGGCACCCUAUUUUCUGUCUUAGUUCUGUCUUUUAGGUUCCGGCCCCCUCGGGCCUGCACUGUACACUGGGCAAGAGACUGGAGCCUACUGCAGAGGUUUCCAGUAACAUUUCAGGGGUCCCCAGUGAGAGAAUUCUUGAUUUGGUGCCAUUUCCUUGAGGCCCUGUCCUGCUGGGUGCUCUCAGAACAGUCCUUCUGGGUUUUCGGUGUUCAGACCUAGUCUCAGCUGAGUAAUCUUUUCAUCCUCUGUGGCAGCCACAGUGGCACAUUACAACACCUCUCUGUGCCUGACUUUCCAGAUCUACAGAUAGGGAUGUUGUGGGCAUCUGUAGGAUUAAAUAAUAUGGUGGAAAUUAUUGUGUAAACUUUAUAGUGCUUAGAACAAUACCUGACAUGUAAUAAGAUAUGCUUGCCCUAAAAUAGAAGAUGGGAGAUUUUUUUUGAGCUAGAUGGGAUUAAGACUUUAAGUUGUAAGUGACUGUGCUUUAUGUGGCUGGAUUGGCAUGUUAGUAAGUUUUCUUUCUACCCAGUGGAAUAGCGAAGCUAAAAAUGCAGGCUUGGUAGGUUAUUAGAAAGAAAAAAUAAAUCAGUGCUAAGUGUUUUUUUUUCCCCCCAAUAGUCUUGCUGUGUAACCCAGGCUGACCUUGAACCUCCUAUACUCCUGCCUCAGCCUCCUGAGUAACUAGUAGUAUAGUAAUACACCAUUACAAUUGGCCCUAUCUGGGUUUUUGUUCUUCAGCUUAUCUUUUUAAAGUUCAAAGGAUCACAAAGAAGGGAGAAAAUUGAAGCUAAUGAGUGAUUUUAGGGCUAUGGCAAAUGAAAACUACCACAAAAAUAUUUUUCUCUGAUGAGGAAACACAGGGCACCACCUAUAAAGUAUUGUUAGCAAAUCUAGUGAACCUGGAUAUUUUUAAGUUUCUAGAUGCUAAUACUUGUCUAUAGGUGAGGUAAAGGACCAAGGUAGUUACCAGUUUUCAAAUUUUGUCAUUUUAGAAUCAUUGGGAAGCUCUUAAAACAUCUUGAUACCCUGGCUUUAAUCAAGAUCAAUUAAAUUCAAAUGUCAGAGCAUGGGACUCGAGCAUGAGUAAAUUCUAAAAUAUCAUAGGUAAUUCCAAUUACCUGAGAAUGAAUGAGUGUUAUGGUUUAUAUGUAGGUGUCCCCCAAGAGGCUCAUGUACUGAGGGGUGCUGCUUGUUAAAGAUGACUGGAUUAUUGAGAUGCUACAGCUGACUUCUUGUUAGGAGGUGGGACCUGGCUGAAGGACACAGAUCGAUGGAGGUAUGAACUGGAAGGGUGUUUCUCCCAUCAGGCUCAUAGCUUCUCUCUUUCUGGUUCCUUGCCAUAAUUACAUGAGCAUCUGUCCUCUGCCAAGGCCCUUCUGCCAUGUUGUUUCUGUUUUCAUGCCUGCUAAACAUGGACUGAAAUUUAUGAGCUGUGAGUCAAAAUAAAUCUCUCCUCCUUUAAGUAAUGGGUGUUGGAUAUUUUAUCCCAGCUUUGAGGAAAUAACUAAGACAACGAGUUAAAUAAAAUAUCUUGAAAAAGUAAUCAGCCAGGCUUGGCAAUGCACACAUUGUAAUUCCAGCUACCCAGGAAGCUGAGGCAGGUGACUGAAAAUUUGAGGUCAGUCUGAGCAACUUAGUGAUGCCCUCAAAAGAAAAAGGAGAAAUUGGGGGGACAUAGCUAGGUGGUAGAGCACCCAUGGGUUCAGUCCCCAAUACCACAAAGAGAGACAGAAGGACCAAAAGAAAUAAUUAGCCAAAUCUAGAAUGUAGACCACUGUGUAAGGCAGAAGACCUAGGUUCUUCAACAAAUAAAUGCAUUUUUAUAAAACUACAGGACAAAAAGGGGAACUAUCAUAGAAUAAAAGACUGAAGAGACCCA